rnacentral:tRNA from 2 species
GCCUUGGUGGCGAAAUUGGUAGACGCAAGGGACUUAAAAUCCCUCGGAGUAACAUCCGUGCCGGUUCGACUCCGGCCCAAGGCACCA